UUUCAGUGAUGAUACGAUGACUAGUCUGAAAGGUAUCGUACCAUUUUAGGUUCUUGAUUCAGGAUCAUGCUCUUUGAGACAGUUUCCAGACACCUGAGGAGGAUUUCCUUUUAAGUGAUGUUUAGGCAUUUGUCUGAGAAGG